UGAUGGAAAGUGGACAAAAUACCAGAAAUUCUGUCAAUUCGCUAGACGAUAUUGAUGUUGACGACGAAUGUAUUGAAGAUGAACAAUAUUCUUCUGAAUCAUCAGAAAAUGAAAAUACUGAAGACCUUGAAACUCUGCUUCCCAGCACCAGUCAACCAAAAAUAACAGACAAAGAAAAGGGUACUUCAGAUACCAGGAGAACAAAACAAGCAGCCAAAAAGCAAUGGAGUGAAAACGAAAAAGGAGCUGUUCACAGACACUUUGAUCGUUUUUUGAUAAAAUGUAAAUUACCAGGGAAAAAAGA